rnacentral:lncRNA from 1 species
AUGUUAAGAAGCUCGGCUUUUAUAUGCAGGACUAGGAGCAAGGAACCAUGGAGUAAGGAACCAUGGAAUGGCUCUACAUGGGAGAGCAACAGGCUAUGGCUGAAUUUCAGAGAGACCUCUCGCUCUCUCCCUUCAAGAGGCUACUUUGGAGAUGAAGAAGCUCUACAUGUCCUACAGGACCAUCUCUUUUUUCAAGCCAAUGAAAAUUCUUCAUGCUGCAGACAUGCUGAACCAAUCCAGAAGGAAGUGGUCAAGAUCCUUAGAGGUCUUCAUAGCAGCACAGACUAGAAAUGAAUACAGGGACUAGAAUUUACGCAAAACAGGAGAAAAUUCAGAUGAGCUUACGGACUUCAGGCUGUCAAGUGAAAGAUGUGUUAGUUGUUUUCUCUGAGGAGCAUAAAUAAAUGUAAGAUUUCUAUUCAAAAUAAGAAGUAACUGUAUAACUUUCAGAGAAUUAAACAAAAGGAAAAGCUAGUAAAUUUGAAAUGCAUAGGAUAUGUCCCAUCACUAGAACUGCACUUGUUUUUUAAAAGAAAUGGUACAUCAAUUGCAAAAUCACUUUUGCAAAAUUCAUUGCAAAAAACUCCAUCUGAAAAAUAAGUAAGCAUUCCUCUUUUUCUUUUUGCUGCAUUCUUGACUUAGUGAACUGGCACAAAAUGAAAGUAGAUGUCUAUAUUUCACGGCCUAGCCACACAAAGGGAACCAACUGGCACAAGUGAUGAGUUCGGAGGAGGCUUUUGUGUACUACUCAAAGAGCCUCUGCCACCAUCAGAUCUAUGCUUCAGCCGCACAAGGAUCCACACCCCUUCCUGAUUUCCUGCUGUCGACUGUUCUAAAUGAAAUAAUUCAUCGUCCAUAAAGCCUGCUUUACAGUCCACUUCUGUUUAUCAGUGUAAUGUGCCUGCAGCAUGCAGUUCUCCAACAUCCCUCUAUCUGGAGCACAUUAUCUGAGAAGGAGAGGUGGGAAAUUACUUCAAAUUAUAUGAGUUUUUCUAAGUGCAAUAACAUUCCUCAGUUUUUAAAGGACAUGUUUUUUUUUUUUUUAAAGUUGUCAUUUGAAUUCAAGUUCUUUGGAAAACAUGCAUAAUAAUCUUAAUGAUCCCAUUGAGUAGUUUAAAUUCAAAUUGUGAGCAUCUAAAAUACCAUCCUGGCAAUACUUUCCAUAAAUUAUUCUCAAAUUCAAUACAACCCUACACACAGAAGCACACACACACACGUAUCUCGCUAAAAAAAAAAAUUUAAAUUACAGUUUCUCUUCUCUUGUCCCAUUUAAAUUGUCACUUGGUUGAUAAAUUAGUGCUGUAGUGUCUGCUUAAAAAUGUCUAUAUAAUUUUUCUAAAAAAUAAUUUUUUGGCAAGUGUAAAAUUUUAUAUCCUUUCAAGGUAAAUUGAGCUUUGCUUUGUUGUAGGGUUCCUGGCUUUGGCAUGAGUGUGUGCUCAAUUUGUAAGUACACAUGGAUGUGUGUCUUGGUGUUUCGCAAAUCAAGCCAGAUUUACUCAUUUCCCUUCUGAUUCAUUGUGUACACUAGCACUUUUAGGAAAUGCUUAGAGACUGACUCCAAAGGGUGACUUCUACUAGAGACUGCUCGCCUAAAGUCUUUAUGAUGAGCUCGGAUACAUAGCAGAAUUAGACUGAGGACACCAUAGAAUUUAAUGAUUAAGGGAAAGAAAGCUCUUUUGAACAUUAAUGAGAAGAGACUACAUUUUUGCUUUAUUUUUAGUAUUUCUGAGAAAUAACAUUUAUUUACAAAGCUUGCCAGUAAGAUUUCAAGAAAAGGGAAAUAUGUAAAUGAGCUACAGAAUAUUCCAAUUGUAAUAUAUAACGAAAUGAAGCCACACAGAUUGCAGCCUUCCUUCAGCAGAAUUCAAAGGUGUACAAUUCGCAAACUUAAUCAACAACUACACUAUGAGGAAAAAAUUUUCCAUAAAUUUGAAAAUACUGAUGUAUUUCUGAAUUGUCCUGAAAUCUGUCUCUCCUUGGUGAAAAACAGUUGGGAUAUUUGAUACCACUUCAAACAUCAAUGAAACAAUACCGAUAAGAUACUUGCCAAUAAUUAGAAGUUAUUAGUCCCAUUAGACUGUUCUGAUAUUUGAACAGCUCCUACUGACAGUAACGAUUCAAUGACUCUGGA